CUACAAGAACCUGCUAACGAGAGACUUCUGCAUUGUCAAUUCAAUAAAAACGGACCUACAUAACAUUAGUUAGUUCACUGCUGGCUACAAGUUUGCAA